rnacentral:rRNA from 1 species
AGUGAACGCUGGCGGCGUGCUUAACACAUGCAAGUCGAACGAGAACGGAUUAUAGCUUGCUAUAAUUGUCAGCUAAGUGGCGCACGGGUGAGUAAUGUAUAGGUAAUAUGCCUCUUACUAAGGGAUAACAAAUGGAAACGUUUGCUAAUACCUUAUACUCCUUAUUAACAGAAGUUAAUAAGGGAAAGAUUUAUUGGUAAGAGAUUAGCCUGUAUUGUAUCAGUUAGUUGGUGGGGUAAUGGCUUACCAAGACUAUGACACAUAACUGGUUUGAGAGGCUGAUCAGUCACACUGGAACUGAGACUCGGUCCAGACUCCUACGGGAGGCAGCAGUGGGGAAUAUUGCACAAUGGACGAAAGUCUGAUGCAGCAGCGCCGCGUGGAGGAUGACACAUUUCGGUGCGUAAACUCCUUUUAUAUGAGAAGAUAAUGACGGUAUUAUAUGAAUAAGCACCGGCUAACUCCGUGCCAGCCGCCGCGGUAA